UUAGGAAUAAGAAUAUCCCACUUGAUAGGAUGCACUUUGUGACAUAUCGCAAUAACCUUAAUAAGAUACUGGCUACUGCUUAUAUCAGGAAUGAGGGUUGGGAAAUGG